rnacentral:rRNA from 1 species
UCCGGUGGCCAUGGCGGCGGAGAGACACCCGUUCCCAUUCCGAACACGGCAGUUAAGCCCGCCAGCGCCGAUGGUACUUGGGGGGUAGCCCCCUGGGAGAGUAGGACGCCGCCGGAU